UGGGGUAGUUUUAAAAAUAGUGAUGAGGGAUUUUCUUCUAAAAUUCCUCCCUCACAACCCUCCCUCACUCAUCCAUUUUCUCUCCCUCUUUCCCAUUUUCUUUUGUUGAGUUUUGAUUUACAUUUUUUUUGUUUUCUUUGAAAGUUCUGUUGUUCUUCUUUUUUCUUUCUUACUUUUUGUUCAAUUGUUCCCUCUUUGUCAUUGAUCAUUUUCUUUACGUUCCCAAUUUAUCAAUGUUACUACCAAUGUAACCUCCCCAACCCGACCUAGAUGUUAGACCCAAAUUCGAGAGAUUACAUCGGCCACUGAGAUGGCCUAAUACAAUCAAAGUUUAUAAUACAAUCAAAGUUUA
rnacentral:lncRNA from 1 species